AAAAAGUCGGCCAUCGGACACGAAGCUCCGCGUGUGUUGAUCUGUUCAAAUCCAUAUCUCGGAAAAGCUUGCAGCUGCAGUGGGACGAUAUCAUACCGACGACCACUGUAUAUACUGAGACGUCUAAAAACUUUGUCUUGCGAGGAGGACACUCCGGACGCAGUUGAUCGGCCUCGUGCUAUCGCCAAAUAAGGAGACUCAAUUAGGAUGUGUACACUCCGGACUCAGUGCUGUUGCCAAUUAAGGAGACUCAAAUAUGAUGAGUACACUCCAGACAUAGUGGACUAGCCCCGUGCUGUCGCUUAUUAAGGACAUUAAUUGCCGGGCGCAGUGGAUCGGGGAAGUGCUGUCGCUUAUUAAGGACAUUAAUUGCCGGGCGCAGUGCGAGUGGAUCGAGGGAUCGAGGGAUACUCAAUUAGGAUGACUCGGGUGACGCAAUGUACUGCCCCUGGAGUCUAGCUAGGAGUUGUUGAAGAUGGGGAACGUCUCUCUCUUUGGUUAUAGAUGGUCCAACCAACCCCCUAGGGUGACGUCCUCACCCUCGCGACAGAUGUCGUAUGAUUUGCAGCCCGAUUUCCAAUUUCCAAUUUCUGUAUGAUUUC